GAAUUCUUGAUAUCAAAGCAGACACGAUAGGCAGACAAUAAUGCAGGAGAUAGAGCAUGCCGGAGAAUGUAUUGGCAACCUGGAAUUUCUGAACAACCCAGCAAUAACAAAUUAGCAAGCACCUGCAGCGAAUGAAAACUGUAUGGUUAUACUAAUCACCAAAGAAGAAGGAAACAAGACUUCACAGCAGAUUGAAUUACUGUUUAAUUGGGCAUCCUG